AUCCUGAGGCCUAUAGUCAUGAAGGUGCCUUAUCUCCUCUGAUCUAGGGAGGUAAGCAGGGUUGAGCCUGGUAGUACUUGGAUGGGAGACUACCUGGGAAUACCAGGUGCGAAAGAAA
rfam:Chlorocebus sabaeus isolate 1994-021 chromosome 1, whole genome shotgun sequence.